GGAAGCUGUAGCUCAGCGGUUACGACGUUGGACUACUGAUCGGACGGUUGUGAGUUGAAAUCCCAGCACUGCCA